GGUUUUUGGAAUCUUUUUUAUCACAUUAAUAUCUUGGGCUGUACAUACGUGAAUUCCAUGCCUGUAAGGAUACAUGCACCCGUACACCAAAUCUAACAAUAUAAGAUCCAAAGUGCUAAGAUUACAGAUUACAGAUUCCGCAGUUGAUGAAAAGCGAGCAUUUAGAUUUGUGUUGUAUAUGUUUACAUCAAGAUUUUGAAUUCAGGGACCUGCUGUUUUCACAGUCGCUGCCAUUCUCUGCACAGCCGGUUUGGAAAUGUUACAGUCCCUGAGAGACUGGCUCCCUCAUGAAUAGGCAAUUAGAUGUCUCCUCCCUCCAGGCUGCGAGAGAUGCUCCCUCCCUCCUGGAAUCUUCUCUACUUUUAGAAAACGUGUGCUUAACUUGUAAAUGUAGUUUUCAGUGCUGGUAAGAAUAUUUUUGUUUUGAAUAACAAUCGCGUUCUUUUCCACAGCGGGAGGCGCUCUGCUGAGUAGCAAGGAGCCCCUCCCGGCCGGAAGGCUUUUGCGGUGCUAGCAGCGCCUGUCUCAGAGCCCUUCUUUAUCAACACUGGGCUGCAGGACCGGUUUCUGAAGUACAGAGUAAACAUAAUUGUUCUCACAUUAAAAAGAAGAGGAAAACAAACAAGGCGCAGAUACGUUCCGCAGUUUUCGCAGCACUACAUGGAGCUGUGACACGCAGGCUGCCUAGGGGGGCUCCUCCUCCCCGAUCUCCCUCUCACUAGAUGGGGGACCCUGGACGGUGGCUGGACUCCUCCGGGUUUCAGUUUCUCCCUCUGAGCAGUGAACCUCCUAUGACUAUUGGGUGGAUUAAAUGGGAUAAUGUAUUAAUGUAAUGUAAUGAUAAUGUAAUGCUUGGAAUAGCUACCUGGUGCAUAUCUGCUCUCCAUACUGUUGCUGCUGCAGCUCUUGUAGAAGGUACAAAGAAGGUGAUAAAAUGUAGUCACGAAAAGUCAGAUGAAAACACAAGCCUCCAGGAAAGUUGCAGCCAACCAAUUUCACAAUCUUGUUCCAGGAAUGCCUGACCCAGGUUUCAAAAGAGAAGGGAAAACACUUGGAAAAAAUGGAAGUUUCAUCUCUGGCCUGCCUUACAGCUUCUGGCAUAUUUUCAGAUGCCAACAAGUAAUGUCAAAGAAACAGCUGUUACAGUGAUCCUGCUUAACAGCCAUAAAGGAAUGAAGAUUUCCACAGAGAGCUUUAUCAGUCUCCACGGAGCUGCCAUUUCCUGCUGACUGAGAGACAAGAUGGAGUGCCAGAUUGUCAUUUAGUUUAACUCCAUGGAAAUGACGCAAGGGAAUCUGACCGUGACUAAACCUUUGCAUCCAGCAAAAGAACACAGGGCAAUCAAGGAAACCUUCUGCUGGCCCUCAGAGGACAGACUGUUGGUAAGUUUGCAAGACGUGUUAGGCUGGCAGAGGGGGAGUCCCGAGGAACACAGAGGUGACAAAAACUCUUAGCAUUCAUUUAUUCAGACCUUUCAUUAAGCCAGAAUCGAAGCACUUCCUCUAAGCAGGCUGCCCUAAAGAUAUGGAUUUUAUGACCAGGAAAAGGUAAACAGAAAAACAGACCCACCAGCCAGCAGAGGAAUGACUAACCACAAUGCUCAGG
rnacentral:lncRNA from 1 species